rnacentral:lncRNA from 1 species
AGAGAAACAAGCAGCAAUAUAACAGAGGAAAAAAAUGUUGAAAAUCAAGAGAUUUGAAGACCAUUUUUUUUUUUAAGAAAGAAUAAAAUAAAGGAAAAGAAAACUUGAUAAGACUGCAGUUUCAUGGCAGUAAAUUCAAAGGACAUAUUGAAUAUGCCGCACCUCCAUCAUGUGAAUAGAGGCUGAGGUGGAGGCUGUAUGGCAGAGUACUGUGCCAGCAGGAGAAACAAAUGUCUCAAAGGGCAUGGACAGCUGGCAGUGCUGUUGCGAAGGUGUGCUCCAGUGUAAUGCUGAGCUUGAGCACCUCUGGUGGACAUCUCAAAAAGCUGGCUGCUGCUGCCAGUAUAUAAUUAUGUGCAUCAUAUUUCUGUACAAACAUAGAACAAAACCACAACUCAAUUCUUGUUAAAGAUCCAUGGCCAGGAUAUUCCUGCCUAAUAAUAAACCCACUGCUAAUUUAGAAAAGCAUUUCUUAUAGAUCUCUUCAUAUAAAUCCCACCUCUUUGUUGAUAGCCAUGUGGCAGCCUGCCCAACAAGCUCCCAUCAAAUUAACCAAAGGACAUGGGUGGUCUCCAAACACCAAAUGUAGUAGUGCAGGCAAAGCAGCUGACACUGCGCUUCUUAUAUGGACUUGGAAAUGUAUAAUGCUAUAUAAGUAAGUAAGGGCUGUAAUUAGGCUAACUUAAACCAGCUUUUAAUCUUUGCUAAUGAAAAUCUGCAGAUAAGAUCCUAUUUUUUUUCACCAUUUUCCAAAUGCUUCUGCAUCCAGUGUUUUAGAAAUGAAAACCUGUCUGGAAAGCUCCACUUCUGCUGGCAUUUGUGUGCCUGUCCCAGAAACUGUGCAGCACAGCAGGAGUCUAAACUCCUGCAGGGGCUUCCCAGAUCAGCCCAGCUCCCACCAGAUUCACGAGAGCCUCCUGCACGGGCCACCAGCACUGCAGUCAGCAGGCACCACACACCAAGCUCCAGCGCAGGCCUGGGUGACCGUGGCUUGGCUCCUCUAUCUGACUGGAAGCGCUGCUGUCACAGCUCAAGUCGCUGUUUCCCUUCUAAAGCCAUAGUAGAGAUGAGCCUCCAAGCAAAACAACCAGCAGCCUCAAGAGAUUUUGGACUUGGCACUGACUGAGCUUCCCUCCAUAAGCAUCCCUUUUGCCAGCGUGUCUGAGCUGAAAAUAGCAAACGUGGACAUGACAGCUGACGAAAACGAGAGCAGGUUAGGAAGUACUAAUUGCUGCCAUUCACUUUUAAACAGCCACCAUGCCUGAGAGAACUGAGUAGUGAGGUUUGGUUAGAGCAAUGUAAAUGCCUCAGGGCCUUUCCUCCUGCAGGCUACGGGGCUCCCAGGAGGGCAGCACGGCACAAGGCAGGCUGUGUGGGUGCCCACCACUCGUGUCGUGCCCCUUAUAUCAGGAGGACGUCCAUGCAGUUUGAUAAGUGAGCUUUAAAGGCUCUGCAGGUGUCCCCCCAUGCUUCAGACAGUGGCCACUGGCAGGUCUCUGAGUUGAACCCACUUUCAUUCAAGUGUCACUGUGUCACAUCUGAAGAAAGAGUGACAGGGACAUGGAGGACAGCUGCCUUCUGAGUGCCAUCGGAAGGAAACACCUCUGUCAGGGAGGCAGGGCCUCUCUCUCUGUGUAGCACUGUGCCAGUGCUCAAGUCCUGAGGUAAUGUUUCAGCAGGCCAAAAUAAGCCUUUUUAAUGAGGUCCAGGGUGCAUUGUGCCUCUUGCCAGCUCCUCAUUAGCGAGCUGACUGCACUGCAAAUAGGCAAAGCCCAUCAGCUCCACACAGUCAGCAAUUGCUGCUGGGCCUGCUGCUGAUUUACAGAGAUGAGCUGUUCUGGGUUAAGCAGCCACAUAUGGGAACUUGUAGGGAACUUCCUUGAAGUAAGCCCUAAAGUAAGUUACAUCUUCCUUGGAGAAAGUUUAAAAUAAAACCAUAUGAAGAAGCA